rnacentral:tRNA from 2 species
UGGGGUGUAGCCAAGUGGUAAGGCACGGGACUUUGACUCCCGCAUUCGCUGGUUCGAACCCAGCCAUCCCAGCCA